AGGGGCAGCAUGAUCGAAGCUUGCUUUGAUUGAGUGGCGGACCGGCGCACGGGGUGAGUAACGCGUAUCCAACCUUCCUAAUAGUAGAGAAUAGCCCGGCGAAAGUCGGAUUAAUGCUCUAUGUUGUAUUUAGAAGACAUCUGAAGAAUACCAAAGGUUUUACCGCUAUAGGAUGGGGAUGCGUCUGAUUAGGUAGUAGGCGGGGUAACGGCCCACCUAGCCGACGAUCAGUAGGGGUUCUGAGAGGAAGGUCCCCCACAUUGGAACUGAGACACGGUCCAAACUCCUACGGGAGGCAGCAGUGAGGAAUAUUGGUCAAUGGACGGAAGUCUGAACCAGCCAAGUAAGCGUGCAGGAUGACGGCCCUAUGGGUUGUAAACUGCUUUUAUAUAGGGAUAAAGUCGGGGACGUGUCCCCGUUUGUAGGUACUAUAUGAAUAAGGACCGGCUAAUUCCGUGCCAGCCGCUGC
rnacentral:rRNA from 1 species